rnacentral:misc_RNA from 1 species
AUCCGCUUCGCCAGUGUUCAUUUUGAGAUUGCAAGUUGGAAGAAGCAUCGACAGGCUCUUUCCAAGUUUUCGAUUGAGCUGUGGCCUUUGUACAACAUAAUCAUAGAGCCACGAUAUAUACUGUCUCCCAACAAUAAGAGUAAUCUCUCCACUGUACCCCCGUCUAUAUUUUUCUUAUUGUAAGUUAUUAAUGAGUUUUCACAUCUCGUAUAUGUAUGCCUUCUUAAGUUUUAUCGUCACUGGACACUG